GGCUGGGGAUUGCGGCUUUGUGUAGGCUUCAGCUCCCUGCUGGCUCACGCUGUCACCCCAGACAUCGUGAAAGUCACACUUGUUUGUGUGGGGGUGUCCCUGAGUGUGUGAAGGUGUGUGUAGAUUUGGGUGUGUGUGCCUGGUGUGGGUGUGUGGUUGGAGUGUGUCUGUGGUUAUGUCGAGUGCAUGCAGUAGUGUGUGUGUGUGUGUGUGUGUGUGUGUGUGUGUGUGUGUAUUUGUGAAUGGAAUGCAGGCUCCUGCAGACUGUUGCUUGUAUGUAAGCGCCUUGGAUACUGGGGCUUGUGCAUGUGCACACUCCAGAGCACAUGGAACAGUGGAAAGACACAUGGCUUUGUGGGUUCCUGGAGGAGAGCUUGAGGGCUCUGGCAGGAAUUAGCCAACAGUGUCAUUAUACCAAUGAAAUAUGGCAGUGUGCCUGGUGCUUGGCCCAUGGUAGGUACUUAGGGAACCAUAGGUAUCUCUUCCUUGAGAGCUGACAGCUGCCCUGAGCCCCUUCCAGAGUUACCCCUGGGCCAGCUACGAAUCAGCUACCGUGGGGCAGCAGGAAUCCCCAGGUUCCCAUUCUGGAAGCAUGAGUCAAGCCCGAGUCCAGGAGGAGGGAGGUCACACUGGGGUCAGAUGCUGGACCCAGGCAGGAGCAGGCAUGCAUCUGGUUGCUACCUUAUCAUGAUGUGAUGCCCACUGCCAGUGAUGGAGCCGGGAAGCCAGGGCCCUAGGGCUGAACUGAGUACCCCCAGGUCUGUGGGUUGAAGGUGUUGUUGACAUGGGCUUUGUGAUAUGUAGAUGCUUUUCAGAUAAAAUAUCCUGAAAAGGACCCAGCCAAGCCCUGGAAGGCUUUGCUUUCAUAGCUGUUGCUGCUGCUGGGGGUGGGGCCUCUGGCCCUGUGGCUGGGGACUGCCUCAUUUCUAUCAGAGCUCCUGAAUCCAGCUUGCAACACCCAGAGACCCAUCUUGAUUCCUCGAGAACCUCUGUUCUUCAUCUAGAUUUUAGCAGUCUCCAAUGAAGACCCAGAUGAACUUUCUCUAGGCUUUGGUGAACAUUGGAGAUGUGGAAAUGCUCACUUUGAACUCUCUCCUACACCUGUGACUAGGCAGGAGGUUUUGUCUUUUCCUGUCUCUGCAAACUGUGACCAUUCAGCACAAUGUACAGUGCCCAUAUAUUGGGUGGGCUUAGGUGGGGAUGAGUGUCUCUUGCAACAUUUAGUAUUUUCACUACACUAUGUAGAUCCCCUGGGCUUCCCAAGUGGC
rnacentral:lncRNA from 1 species